AGCAGUAGCCGCGGUAAUACGGAGGGUGCAAGCGUUAAUCGGAAUUACUGGGCGUAAAGCGCACGCAGGCGGUCUGACAAGUCAGAUGUGAAAUCCCCGGGCUUAACCUGGGAACUGCAUUUGAAACUGUCAGGCUGGAGUCUUGUAGAGGGGGGUGGAAUUCCAGGUGUAGCGGUGAAAUGCGUAGAGAUCUGGAGGAAUACCGGUGGCGAAGGCGGCCCCCUGGACAAAGACUGACGCUCAGGUGCGAAAGCGUGGGGAGCAAACAGGAUUAGAUACCCGUGUAGUCCUGUCUCUUAUACA
rnacentral:rRNA from 1 species